GAAAAGCUGAUUGACUGACUGACAAAUCUAUAAACGCACAGCGCAAACUACUGGACGGAUCGGGCUUAAAUUUGGCAUGCAGAUAGCUAUUAUGGCGCACACAUCCGCUGAGAAAGGACUUUCGAAAAUUCAACCCCUAAGGGAGCAAAAUAGAGAUUUGAAAUUUGUGUAAUUCACAUGUGGGCAAAGAUGCGGGCAUA